rnacentral:ribozyme from 1 species
UAUGUAAAUUUUUUUGUUGUUCUUUUGUUCCUUUUCCAACCUUUGCGUGAUUUUUGUUCUUACAAAGCAAAAAGAAGCCAUGACUCCCGACGCUGAUGCUGAGGCCAUGAGAAGAGCAACCGAGGACU